UAAUAUCUGAUGUACUUUUAUAUGCUCAAAAGCAGAAUUUUACAAUUCCACAGAUCGAAUAAAUCCCAGGCUUUCUAAAAUGAUACAAUAGAAGCUUCAGCUUCACCAGCAGAGCUGUAAAUGAGGCUUUAAUUGCCAUUUUAGGAAAAGGGCUGAAAGUGUCUAGCCAGUGAAAAUGCAGUAAAUUUGAGAGGUCAGAGCAAUAGAGCGCAUGCCUGUCUUCCAUCGGGUAUAACAUCUAAUGAGUUUCACUAGCAGCCUUGCUUUUGAUCUGGGAGCUGUUAGAAGCCAUUGCACCACAGAUGAAAGGAGUUAGAAAAUUCCAUAUCAUAAUGCAGUUAGAUCAGUAAUUCAUGGAGCAGAUUUGUGUUGAUGAUCAUCUUUGAUUCUGAAUCUACAGUUCUAGACCUGAAACAGCAGAAUGUUCUCAAAAUUAAACAAAACUCUACAUCCAGGAGACUAAAUUAAGACUUUAACUUAAAACAAUCUCAGUAUUUCAGCAAAACAUAUGAUUUGAGGUUUUAAAGAAGGCUAACAAGACUAAUUUUGUUAUAACAUGAGAAUUGAAAUGAAAGACUGUGUAUCUCUUUGCAAAAAUGUGUCUUGGCCAGUUACCUCAGCUGUUUACCUAAGUAGCUACAGGACAUCUGUUUCAAGAUAGGUUGCAGGCGCAUUGCAUUUCACCUUCCUGAAGAGGACAGGAAACUUAAUUUUGAAUUCCUCUUCUCAGCUACUCAGUCUGUUUAAAACUGUGGCUGUGUUUUGCUCAGCACCUGACACGUGAUUCUCUGAAAUGGCUCCAUGUCAAAAGGCCGCAUAUCUGAUUUCUCCUGACCUGCCAAGACAUCUGCAACUGGUCUGCAGGGGGACAACAAUGAUGUCUACACAAAUUCCCUUUCUUUAAAUUGCAAGUAUCCUGUCCUGGUUCUCUGGCUUGGAAUUACUUCAUAUUUUGGAAAACAAAAACAGAAGCAUUAAAAAAUAAUAGUAAUAACAGAGACCAAAACAAAAGACAGAAGAAAAUAUACUCCAGCCUGUGUUAAAAGAAUUCUCUCGGAAAAUGAAAAGCCAUGGUACCACUGGGAUCAGCUAUUCAAAGGACCUAAAACCUUGCCAUAGCCUCCACAGCUGCUACAGAAAUUCAUUUGAUACAGCUCUGCAUUCCCUGUAUGGUUAAUUCACACUUAUCUGUGGAAAUACUUGAUCCAAACCUGACCGAAAUGACUGCAGAUGCUUUUGUUGACUUUAUGGGCCUUUCUGACUCUGUCUGUGAUACAGGAGAAUCAGCCAUGCAGGACAGGGGUGUAAUUCCAUCAAGGACUUAUGGUGACCUCAUAAACCAUGAGAGCUGGCAUUGACUUUAAUGGGCACCACGUGGUUAAAUUCCCAUGCAUCAAUUUGAAAAUGUAGGGCUUCAUUUGAUAUUGCAGAAGGAUACCAGACCUGCCGUGUCAAAUUGUUUCUCUUUCUUCUAAAGGAGCUACUAGCUUUAUGUUACAGUCAGUCCUCUUUGGUAGCAAAUGAAAUAUACCAUUUUGGAAAAGUAUUUUCUCUGGCAAAACGAACUUGAAAAGUACAUUUCAUAGAAAAGCACAUAUUUGGGUUAUAUUCUUUUAAAUAAACUUUCUAAAAAGAUGGCAAUAACUUCAAGGAAAGGUGUGGUGUUGUAUAGCACUGGCUUGCCUGCAAAGUUUUAAGUAUGAGACAUUUCAAAAAAUUAAUUUGUACAUCAAUUAGAAUAUAGGAAUGGAAUUAUUUUAGAUCAGUUGAAAAACUAGACUAUAUUAAACCUAUUUGAAGUUAAAGUAGGUAAGGUGUCUCAAAUUGCUAAUGUUGAAUGACCACAGUUAAAAGUUACUCUAACAAAAGUAGUUGUAUUCAAUACACAAGUUUUAGUGAUGUGUGUUUAGGAAUGUAGUCCCAAAGCUGGGAAAAAACAAACAAACAAGAAAA